UAAUUUUAGGUCUGACCUGCCCGAUGAAGUUUUCAAUGGCCGCGGUAUUUUGACCGUGCAAAGGUAGCAUAAUCACUAGUUUUUUAAUUGAAAGCUUGUAUGAAAGGUUUGAUGAAAAAGUUACUGUCUUAUUUAAAUUAAUUAGAAAUUUAUUUUUAAGUAAAAAAGCUUAGAUAUAUAUGAAAGACGAGAAGACCCUAUAGAGUUUGAUAGUAAAAUGAAUAAAAUAGAUUUAAGGAUUAUUAUUAAAUAUUAUUUAUAAGAUUAUUUUAUUGGGGUGAUAGAAAAAUUUAAGAAACUUUUUUUAUAUCUAAACAUUUAUUUGUGAAAAUUUGAUCCUUUUAUAAAGAUUAUAAGACAAAAUUACCUUAGGGAUAACAGCGUAAUUUUUUUUAGAGCUCUAAUCAAAAAAAAAGAUUGCGACCUCGAUGUUGGAUUAAAGUUUCUUGUUGGUGUAGUAGCUAAUAAAGUGGGUCUGUUCGACCUUUAAAAUUUUACAUGAWCUGAGUUUAAACCGGUGUGAGCCMGGUCGGUUUCUAUCU
rnacentral:rRNA from 1 species